GACAGCUGUAGAUGUUCUUCUCAUCCUCUGUCUUCCAGUGUCCUUCAAUGCAGACUUUACAGUAGCUGUGUCCACAGUGAAUGGCCACAGGAUCCUUCAGUAGAUCCAGACAUAUAGAACAGCAGAAUCUUUCUGGGUUCACCUGAUUUCUCUGCUCCUCCAUGUUACUCUCUCAAGUCAAC